UACGAAGGGGGCUAGCGUUGCUCGGAAUUACUGGGCGUAAAGGGCGCGUAGGCGGAUGUUUAAGUCGGGGGUGAAAGCCCGGGGCUCAACCUCGGAAUUGCCUUCGAUACUGGACAUCUUGAGUACGGGAGAGGUGAGUGGAACUCCGAGUGUAGAGGUGAAAUUCGUAGAUAUUCGGAAGAACACCAGUGGCGAAGGCGACUCACUGGCCCGUUACUGACACUGAGGAGCGAAAGCGUGGGGAGCGAACAGG
rnacentral:rRNA from 1 species